rnacentral:rRNA from 1 species
CCCUAUGGGGUGCAGCAGGCGCGAAAACUUUACAAUGCUGGAAACAGCGAUAAGGGAACCUCGAGUGCCAGGUUACAAAUCUGGCUGUCGUGAUGCCUAAAAAGCAUUUCAUAGCAAGGGCCGGGCAAGACCGGUGCCAGCCGCCGCGGUAACACCGGCGGCUCGAGUGGUAACCGUUAUUAUUGGGUCUAAAGGGUCUGUAGCCGGCCGGAUAAGUCUCUUGAGAAAUCUGGCAGCUUAACUGUCAGGCUUUCAGGAGAUACUGUCUGGCUCGAGGCCGGGAGAGGUGAGAGGUACUUCAGGGGUAGGGGUGAAAUCUUGUAAUCCUUGAAGGACCACCAGUGGCGAAGGCGUCUCACCAGAACAGACCUGACGGCAAGGGACGAAAGCUAGGGGCACGAACCGG